rnacentral:rRNA from 1 species
GGAGUCUGGUCCGUGUCUCAGUACCAGUGUGGGGGACCUUCCUCUCAGAACCCCUACUGAUCGAAGGACCGGUGGGCCGUUACCCCGCCGGCUUCCUAAUCAGCCGCAUCCCCAUCCCUCGGCGAUCAAUCUUUACUCCUCUUCAGAUGUCCUCGAAGGAGACCAUAGGGCAUUAAUCCGGUUUUCACCGGGCUAUUCCCAAGUUAAGGGAAGGUUGGAUACGCGUUACUCACCCGUGCGCCGGUCGCCAUCAUCGGUUGCAAGCAACCAACAUGCUGCCCCUCGACUUGCAUGUGUUAAGCCUGUAGCUAGCGUUCAUC